rnacentral:rRNA from 1 species
UACGAGGGGUGCAAGCGUUGCUCGGAAUUAUUGGGCGUAAAGGGUACGUAGGCGGUCUCAUUUGUCUGGGGUGAAAGCCUUGAGCUUAACUCAAGAAGUGCCCCAGAAACGGUGAGACUGGAGUCUUGGAGAGGGUCGUGGAAUUCCCGGUGUAGCGGUGAAAUGCGUAGAGAUCGGGAGGAACACCAGCGGCGAAGGCGGCGACCUGGACAAGCACUGACACUCAACUACGAAAGCGUGGGGAGCAAACAGG